GUAAUCUAGUUUAUUUUAUUUGUUUUAUACUAAAAAGUAUAAAUAUACUUCCUCUUUACUUAAAAUAUAUCACUUUUUACAUAACAAUAUAUUUUAAGUAAAACAAUAGCAAUUUAUUUGGGUAGCUUUUUGUAUGAGUUUGUUGUGUACAAGAAAUGUUAUAAAAGUGAGUUGACAUACACAAUUUAUUUGAGCAGCUGUCGAUGUGGCAUGUGUGUUCAUCAAACUUAAAUAUUUGAAAUAAAAAACACAUAAAAAUUAAGUUGGAUUUAUCCCUUUUUCACUGGCGGGGACUUUCCAAGGCAGAUGCUUCCUCUGCACUUCAACUGUUUGAAAGCUGCAGCGGAUCUAAAUUUCACAGACUGAUUAACACGUCUCCGGUGGGGCAUGCAGCUGUCGUGGGGUCCUCGUGUUAUCAGCAGCAGAGUUGCGUUUUUGUUACCUGGGGUCUUCAGAUACAGGAUCCGUCUGGCUAUGUGGAGAAAAGGAGAGAUGUGGUACUGAGAUGCCUGAUUGAGUACAUAUGGGAGGGAAAGGAAGACCUCAUCAGUGUCCACCAUGUAUGUACUGGGCUUAAAGCUACUUAUCUAAUUUCUGUCUGUAUGUUAUUACUAUUGUGAUGAUAUGGGGUAAUUACUUUGUUCUUGAAAUAUAUUUAAUACAGUAAUGUGAUGACCAAUAAGGUGCAGGCAAGGAAAAUUGCAUUGUUUUAUUGUAAUGUAUCCUUUGAACCAGAAAAGACAACACUCAUGCUACAGUAGAUCAUGAUAGUAUAGUACCAACACUCUAUGACAUUGUCAUGGUAGACUUCACUCUGGUCACAUGCUCUAGUCAAAGUAUCCAUCUAGUAUCCAUCACCUUAAGCAACUAAAAAGGACAACUUUGACUUUGUGUCGUAUCUGUCUUCUACCAGUCUGCUAUAUUCAUCUCAAUACCUGUUUGUCUGACCAAACUCUUGAUUCUUUUUUGUCUCCCCAAUAGAGUCAUGAUGAAACAGAGGUGUACGCUGAGCUUGGCAGUUCCCCACUGAAAAUAUACAUGCGCCAUCAGCCAAACACGAUUGGGAUUAUCACAGUAGAAGGACAGCCCAUGGUCAGAGGUGUGCCAAACCUGUAGAAAACCUCCUGUUUGGACUUGUCUAUGCCCACAACCUCUAAUAUCACUCAAAUCUGGUGUAUACUUCUGAGAUAUAUCACAGGCUCUUUGUGGGAUUGGACCCUAUGCAUACUUUUGUAUGUUUUGUAGACACUGUUAAA